AUCCUGUUUACAAUAAACCUUCCUUCAGCUUUAUAUUUCAAUAUAGUUUGUCAACACAUCGGACUUUAUUAAAGUUGUUGAUUUGUCAACAUGUUUCACAGUUUUCGGCUUGACAUGAAGGUCAAUGAAUGAUCCUACUACUGAACUCAUUAGCGUCUACGUGGGUGAAGACGAAAGAGUAAAUAUGUUUCAAUUAGAAAGUAGCAGUAACCCUCCCCG
rnacentral:lncRNA from 1 species